GAAACUACGGCAACUGAAGGAGGAGCUUGCGAAUAGAGAACGCUUGCUUGAGCAGGAAUAUGGCAAAGUGCAGAAGCGUCUACAGCGCUCAAUACAGGGGAUUGAAAUGUUUGCAAUUGGUGCAAAUGCUGGCCCUAGAGCAUUUCAUAAGCUGAUGAUAAGGAGACAUUACCGAAUUUCAAAUAUUUGCUCGACAAAAGUGGCUGGUGCACCAGUGUUACCACCCCUACUCCCACUCAAGCAGGCUGCACCAGAGAAGCAGCGGACUUAUCACAUUGUCAAAAUUAUUGGGAAGCUUGGACGCCAAGUCUUGCUCCUUUUUCAAGAAAAUGAUAUGUACCUCAUUGGAUUCAAACCUUUCCACCAAGACAAAAAAUAUUAAUGAUGCAA